GAUGAAGAACGCAGCGAAAUGCGAUAAGUAAUGUGAAUUGCAGAAUUCCGUGAAUCAUCGAAUCUUUGAACGCACAUUGCGCCCGCUGGAACUCCGGCGGGCACGCCUGUCCGAGCGUCAUUUCAACCCUCAGGCCCCCCUUCGCGGGCGGGCCUGGUGUUGGGGCCCGGCCGCUACCCUGCGGCCGUCCCCUAAAUUCAGUGGCGGCCUCGCCGUGAUCCCUUGCGUAGUAAUGCACCUCGCACCGGAGAGCGCCGUGGCCACGCCGUAAAACCCCCAAUUUUCAAUGGUUGACCUCGGAUCAGGUGGGAAUACCCGCUGAACUUAAGCAUAUCAAUAAGCGGAGGA
rnacentral:misc_RNA from 1 species